rnacentral:rRNA from 1 species
AGAGUUUGAUCAUGGCUCAGAUUGAACGCUGGCGGCAUGCGUAACACAUGCAAGUCGAACGGUGUUUGGUGCUUGCACCAGACAUAGUGGCGGACGGGUGAGUAAUGCGUAGGAAUCUGUCUUAGAGAGGGGGACAACCCGAGGAAACUUGGGCUAAAACCGCAUAUUCUCGAGAGAGGAAAGCAGGGGACCGGAAACGGCCUUGUGCUCUAAGGUGAGCCUACGUCGGAUUAGCUAGUUGGUAGGGUAAAAGCCUACCAAGGCGAUGAUCUGUAGCUGGUCUGAGAGGACGGACAGCCACACUGGGACUGAGACACGGCCCAGACUCCUACGGGAGGCAGCAGGUGGGGAAUAUUGGACAAUGGGGGGAACCCUGAUCCAGCGAUGCCGCGUGUGUGAAGAAGGCCUGCGGGUUGUAAAGCACUUUCAGUGGGAAAGAGAAGCGUCUUGUGAAUAAUGGGACGUGGAGACGUUACUCACAGAAGAAGCACCGGCUAACUCUGUG